AACGAACGCUGGCGGCAUGCCUAACACAUGCAAGUCUAACGAAGCCUUCGGGCUUAGUGGCGCACGGGUGCGUAACGCGUGGGAAUCUGCCCUUGGGUUCGGAAUAACAGUUAGAAAUGACUGCUAAUACCGGAUGAUGUCUUCGGACCAAAGAUUUAUCGACCAAGGAUGAGCCCGCGUAGGAUUAGGUAGUUGGUGGGGUAAUGGCUCACCAAGCCGACGAUCCUUAGCUGGUCUGAGAGGAUGAUCAGCCACACUGGGACUGAGACACGGCCCAGACUCCUACGGGAGGCAGCAGUGGGGAAUAUUGGACAAUGGGCGAAAGCAUGAUCCAGCAAGGCCGCGUGAGUGAUGAAGGGCUUAGGGUUGUAAGGCUCUUUUACCAGGGAUGAUAAUGACAGUACCUGGAGAAUAAGCUCCGGCUAACUCCGUGCCAGCCGCCGCCGUAAUAC
rnacentral:rRNA from 1 species